rnacentral:rRNA from 1 species
UUUGGUUUUUUUGCGGUUCUGGUUGUUAAAUGGAGGGUUAAGUCCAGCUACGAGCGCAACCGUUAUCCUUUUCUGCCAGUGGUUAGCCCGGGAACUCAAAGGAGACUGCCAGUGAUAAACUGGAGGAAGGUGGGGAUGACGUCAAGUCAUCAUGGCCCUUACGAGUAGGGCUACACACGUGAUACAAUGGCGCAUACAAAGAGAAGCGACCUCGCGAGAGCAAGCGGACCUCAUAAAGUGCGUCGUAGUCCGGAUUGGAGUCUGCAACUCGACUCCAUGAAGUCGGAAUCGCUAGUAAUCGUAGAUCAGAAUGCUACGGUGAAUACGUUCCCGGGCCUUGUACACACCGCCCGUCACACCAUGGGAGUGGGUUGCAAAAGAAGUAGGUAGCUUAACCUUAAGGAGGGCGCUAACCUACU